GACCUCGGAUCAGGUAGGGAUACCCCCUGAACUUUAGCAUAUCAUAACGGAGGAAAAAAACCACAGGAUGCUCUAGAGAA
rnacentral:rRNA from 1 species